rnacentral:lncRNA from 1 species
AAAGCAAAUUAACUCUGGUUUGAAGGGAAGGGAGGCCAGAGCACCACGAUUUUCCUGCCUUCAAUUCCUGGGAAGGGAGCUCUCUAGGAACAGCUCAAACACCUCUGUUCUGGGACACAAUUUUUAAUGGCUUUACAGAAGCUGCUUUCAUAUGUAGUCCUCCACUGAACCCCGUCUUUUAUGGACACUCACAAUCCUUUCUUCACUACCAAACACCAAGCACCAACUAUGUGCUCCCAGUAGGAUAUCAAGGGGAAUAAGAUUUGCUUUUUUUUUUAAUUUUUUUUAAAUGUUUUAUUUAUUUUUGAUACAGACAGAGACAGAGCAUGAGAGGGGGAGGGGCAGAGAGAGAAGGAGACACAGAACCGGAAGCAGGCUCCAGGCUCUGAGCUAGCUGUCAGCACAGAGCCUGACGCGGGGCUUGAACCCACGAAAGUGAGAUCUGACCUGAGCUGAAGUCAGAGGCUUAACCGACUGAGCCACCCAGGUGCCCCAAGAUUUGCUUUAUUGUCUUUCCCGCUCUCCUCUUCUCCACAGAGAGGACUUUGUCCCAAGUGCUAUGGAGAGGGAGGAGACCCAGCCUACACCUAGGAAGAUCAGGACAAGCUUUACCAGAAGGCUCAUGGAGAAUGAAUUCAUCUACUCAGUCAUCUACCAGCCUGAAUCUGACAGAGAGUACACAGCACGGAGCUCUGCACGUGGUAGGCGCUCAGAAAGUUAGGUAUCCAUUCCGAGUCAGAGCUCCACAAGCAAGACCUGGGUGCAGAAACACCAGAGGGCGCCCACGAGCCCGCCCACCCAGCGGUCCCCAGGGCGCCGGUAAGAUCUUGGGCCUGGGUGCGGCCCCGCCGCCCAGAGCAGUUGCGCGCCGAGACUAGAAGAGCCGGUGAGGAGAGCCCUGCGUCCUACAUCCGCCCCGCCCCCUCCCCAGAGCCGGGGCGCACGGAGCAGCCGGUUGCGGAACGACGACACGACAUCCUGUUUUUGGGGCCCGCGGCUCCUCCGGCGCCUCUGCUGAUCUUGUCUUUCCCCGGGUGCUGACGCCAGCUCCCCUUCCCCCAGUCUCUGCACCCUCCCCAGGGGUCUGGGGCCUUCCCACUGCUGAAUCACCACCACUCCGCACUCCCCCGGGGUUCGGGGCAGGGUGGGGACUGCCCCAGCCGGACCCAUUCUGGCCACCCCCCAGCCUUGGUCAACGAUCGAUCCCGGGCUUGACUGAAGGCACGCAGCCUAAAGGCGCCAGUUCUUAACUUCUUCCCGCGGGGGUUGGUGGGGGUGAGAGGGGAGGGGGACAAAGCCUAGCGCCUAGGCUAGGGCCUCUACUGGGAUGGGGGUGGCAAGAAGGAGACUGGGAGG